rnacentral:rRNA from 1 species
UACGUAGGGUGCAAGCGUUGUCCGGAAUUAUUGGGCGUAAAGAGCUCGUAGGCGGUCUGUCGCGUCGGACGUGAAAAUCCAGGGCUCAACCCUGGACCUGCGUUCGAUACGGGCAGACUAGAGUUCGGUAGGGGAGACUGGAAUUCCUGGUGUAGCGGUGAAAUGCUCAGAUAUCAGGAGGAACACCGGUGGCGAAGGCGGGUCUCUGGGCCGAAACUGACGCUGAGGAGCGAAAGCGUGGGGAGCAAACAGG